AUUGAACGCUGGCGGCAUGCUUUACACAUGCAAGUCGAACGGCAGCGCGGGCUUCGGCCUGGCGGCGAGUGGCGAACGGGUGAGUAAUACAUCGGAACGUGCCCAGUCGUGGGGGAUAGCUCGGCGAAAGCCGGAUUAAUACCGCAUACGACCUGAGGGUGAAAGCGGGGGAUCUUCGGACCUCGCGCUAUUGUAGCGGCCGAUGGCAGAUUAGCUAGUUGGUGGGGUAAAGGCCUACCAAGGCGACGAUCUGUAGCUGGUCUGAGAGGACGACCAGCCACACUGGGACUGAGACACGGCCCAGACUCCUACGGGAGGCAGCAGUGGGGAAUUUUGGACAAUGGGCGAAAGCCUGAUCCAGCAAUGCCGCGUGUGUGAUGAAGGCCUUCGGGUUGUAAAGCACUUUUGGCGGGAACGAAAAGGACUGUGCCAAUACCACGGUUCGAUGACGGUACCCGCAGAAUAAGCACCGGCUAACUACGUG
rnacentral:rRNA from 1 species